rnacentral:lncRNA from 1 species
UCGAAAUUGGGAAUGUUCAAUUUCACUUGAAGUAGAGUACAUGCACAUGAAUUUGUCAAAGUUGCAUUCCGUACUAGUUGUCCUUGAAUGACAAAUGAUUUUGCUUGGAUGAUAUUUAUAGGAUUGCUUAUGGAACUUUCAAUGCCACCACACAUGAGAGCAAGAAAAAGAACUAAGCAAACAACUUUGAUGAAAGUUGCCAUUGAAAAUUUUGUAUUAGCAACAACUUAAGUGAGAGAUUUUAUUGAUUUCUAAAUUAUCUUACCUAGCUUUAUAACAAUGCACAUACUUUGUUUUUUUUUGAAAAGCCUUAUAAGGUGUAAAUAGUUUGUUUUUCUUUAUACUUUUUAUGAGCGAUUUAGCUCAUACACGUCAA